UGAAUAUAGUUUAUAAAAAUUCUAGUCUGUGAACCUAGAGAUGAGAGCUAAACCCUCUCUAUUCACC
rnacentral:tRNA from 1 species